AGUCGAGCGGUAGAGAGAAGCUUGCUUCUCUUGAGAGCGGCGGACGGGUGAGUAAUGCCUAGGAAUCUGCCUGGUAGUGGGGGAUAACGUUCGGAAACGGACGCUAAUACCGCAUACGUCCUACGGGAGAAAGCAGGGGACCUUCGGGCCUUGCGCUAUCAGAUGAGCCUAGGUCAGAUUAGCUAGUUGGUGGGGUAAUGGCUCACCAAGGCGACGAUCCGUAACUGGUCUGAGAGGAUGAUCAGUCACACUGGAACUGAGACACGGUCCAGACUCCUACGGGAGGCAGCAGUGGGGAAUAUUGGACAAUGGGCGAAAGCCUGAUCCAGCCAUGCCGCGUGUGUGAAGAAGGUCUUCGGAUUGUAAAGCACUUUAAGUUGGGAGGAAGGGCAGUAAAUUAAUACUUUGCUGUUUUGACGUUACCGACAGAAUAAGCACCGGCUAACUCUGUGCCAGCAGCCGCGGUAAUACAGAGGGUGCAAGCGUUAAUCGGAAUUACUGGGCGUAAAGCGCGCGUAGGUGGUUCGUUAAGUUGGAUGUGAAAUCCCCGGGCUCAACCUGGGAACUGCAUUCAAAACUGACGAGCUAGAGUAUGGUAGAGGGUGGUGGAAUUUCCUGUGUAGCGGUGAAAUGCGUAGAUAUAGGAAGGAACACCAGUGGCGAAGGCGACCACCUGGACUGAUACUGACACUGAGGUGCGAAAGCGGGGGGAGCAAACAGGAUUAGAUACCCUGGUAGUCCACGCCGUAAACGAUGUCAACUAGCCGUUGGGAGCCUUGAGCUCUUAGUGGCGCAGCUAACGCAUUAAGUUGACCGCCUGGGGAGUACGGGCCGCAAGGUUAAAACUCAAAUGAAUUGACGGGGGCCCGCACAAGCGGUGGAGCAUGUGGUUUAAUUCGAAGCAACGCGAAGAACCUUACCAGGCCUUGACAUCCAAUGAACUUUCUAGAGAUAGAUUGUGCCUUCGGGACAUUGAGACAGUGCUGCAU
rnacentral:rRNA from 1 species